UGCUUUUUCUGAUUUUAAUUAUUUUUCUUUUAUUAUUUUUAAUUGUUUUUUAUUUAAAAAUUAAUAGUAAUUUCAUUUUUAUCUAAAACAUCCCAAAAUAAUUUCUAAAAUUCUCUUUUAUUUUUUCUUCAUCUGAUUUUUAUUUUUCCACAUUUUAUUUCAUUGAUUUCCUAUUUUUCAUGAAUUUUCUCUUUUCUUCUUUGUUUUAAUUGGUUUAAAAAUACUUUUCUGCAUUUUGAAAAUUUGAAAAUUUUAUUAUAUGUUUCU
rnacentral:lncRNA from 1 species